rnacentral:rRNA from 1 species
AGAGCGAACGCUGGCGGCAGGCCUAACACAUGCAAGUCGAGCGCCCCGCAAGGGGAGCGGCAGACGGGAGAGUAACACGUGGGAACGUACCCUUCAGUUCGGAACAACCCAGGGAAACUUGGGCUAAUACCGAAUACGUCCGUAAGGAGAAAGAUUUAUCGCUGAAGGAUCGGCCCGCGUCUGAUUAGCUUGUUGGUGAGGUAACGGCUCACCAAGGCGACGAUCAGUAGCUGGUCUGAGAGGAUGAUCAGCCACACUGGGACUGAGACACGGCCCAGACUCCUACGGGAGGCAGCAGUGGGGAAUAUUGGACAAUGGGGGCAACCCUGAUCCAGCAAUGCCGCGUGAGUGAUGAAGGCCUUAGGGUUGUAAAGCUCUUUCGCCCGCGACGAUGAUGACGGUAGCGGGAGAAGAAGCCCCGGCUAACUUCGUGCCAGCAGCCGC